rnacentral:misc_RNA from 1 species
GCAUCCACCUUUCUCUGCAACCUUGCCUCAAUUUCCUCUUUUGCUAGCAAGCUGUCAUCCCAAUCCUCAUCACCUGCCUCAGAAGCCAUGCUCCAUUUGCCCAAGGUACUCUCCACUUCUUUAUCAUUCCUAUAUUGACCUUGACGCCAUGCUUGGUUUUCUAACAUCUGGAUCCUCCGUGACUGAAUCUGAGAUUGGACCCGGACCAAGAGCUGCAUGUAUUUCAUCGCAUUCAUCGUCUGCCGCUUCACACUCUGUCCUCUUACCACUCCUUGAAGCCUCACCAGGCCCUUCAGAGCUCUAAAGCUCCUUCUUGCAAUAUAGCCUCUAUAGGCUGCUUGGAUCUUGGUGGCUGAAGCAUGGUGGUUCCUCAGAGUUGGUUCUGGUCUGUAGUAUGUCUCCUUAUGACGAAGAACAUUCUUUGGAGAAGCUGCCCUGGGGGAACGAACCCUUGGAGAUGCAGCUCUAGGGGAAGAAACUCUAGGAGAAGCAGCUCUUGGGGAGGUAACUCUUUGAGAAGGAACCCUUACAGAAGCAACUCUGGGAGGCACAAAAGGUGGUGUUUUUGGUUGCUCAGGAGAUGUGGAAGGCCUGAAAAUUAAUUUAUGCUCUCUUUCGGCCUCACCCAAAAUUUUCUCAACACUACUGGGUUCUCUAAACAGUGGAAUGAAGGUAUUUGUAUCAGCAUGCCUUAAUUUUCCUAGGCCCUUCUUCUUUUCUUUUGUGCUUUUCCUAUCUGAUUCAUUGGCUAGCUUGUCCUUGGAGUUGGGUAGAAAGACCUUCUUGAUUGUAGAAAACCAGCUCCCUCUCUUCCCCAUGUUCCUAGCAUUACUGUCUCCACCUUAUUUAAGACCCAGUUUUUGCAAAGAAACCAAAAUUAAGCAAAAGGAAGGAAAGAGCAGGAGGGGGAUCAGCAGCAGCCAGAGAAGACUCUGUCUUUAUCCUCCCUCUCCUUUCCUAUAGAACAUGCUGUCUGUUUUUUUCUUUUGUAAUUUUUCUUACAUAUAAUUCUGUUCUUGUUUAGAUUUGUUUCAAACAAAAACUCUCUCUUGUCUCUCCUUCUCUCCCUUUCUUUCUUUCUUUCUCUCACUAGGAAACUUUGAAUCAGGUUCUUGGUUUUAUGAAUUUACUUUUCUUUCCUUCCCACCUUUCACCUUUUGUUGGAUUUAUAAUUUUU